rnacentral:misc_RNA from 1 species
UCGUAACAAGGUCUCCGUUGGUGAACCAGCGGAGGGAUCAUUACUGAGUUGAAAAACUCCAACCCCUGUGAACAUAACCUCUGUCGUUGCUUCGGCGGGCACGCCCGCCGGAGGUUCAAAACUCUUAUUUUUUUCAGUAUCUCUGAGCCUAAAAGACAAAUAAUCAAAACUUUCAACAACGGAUCUCUUGGUUCUGGCAUCGAUGAAGAACGCAGCGAAAUGCGAUAAGUAAUGUGAAUUGCAGAAUUCAGUGAAUCAUCGAAUCUUUGAACGCACAUUGCGCCCGCCGGUAUUCCGGCGGGCAUGCCUGUUCGAGCGUCAUUUCAACCCUCAAGCCUCGGCUUGGUGUUGGGGCGCCCGGGCCCUCCGCGGCCCGGGGCCCCCAAGUUCAUCGGCGGGCUCGUCGGUACACUGAGCGCAGUAAAACGCGGUAAAACGCGAACCUCGUUCGGAUCGUCCCGGCGUGCUCCAGCCGCUAAACCCCCAAUUCUUUAAAGGUUGACCUCGGAUCAGGUAGGAAUACCCGCUGAACUUAAGCAUAUCAAUAA